rnacentral:rRNA from 1 species
AUUGAACGCUGGCGGCAGGCCUAACACAUGCAAGUCGAACGAGUGGCGGACGGGUGAGUAAUGUCUGGGAAACUGCCUGAUGGAGGGGGAUAACUACUGGAAACGGUAGCUAAUACCGCAUACCAUCGGAUCUGCCCAGAUGGGAUGAGCUAGUAGGUGGGGUAACGGCGCACCUAGGCGUCGCUCCCUAGCUGGUCUGAGAGGAUGAACAGCCACACUGGGACUGAGACACGGCCCAGACUCCUACGGGAGGCAGCAGUGGGGAAUAUUGCACAAUGGGCGCAAGCCUGAUGCAGCCAUGCCGCGUGGAUGAAGAAGGCCUUCGGGUUGUAAAGUACUUUCAGCGGGGAGGCGUUACCCGCAGAAGAAGCACCGGCUAACUCCGUGCCAGCAGCCGCGGUAAUUC